rnacentral:rRNA from 1 species
UACAGGGGGGGCAAGCGUUGUCCGGAAUCAUUGGGCGUAAAGCGCGUGUAGGCGGCCACUUAAGUCCUGCGUGAAAUCCUGCGGCUCAACCGCAGGCGGUCGUGGGAAACUGGGUGGCUAGAGUGCGGGAGAGGAGAGUGGAAUUCCUGGUGUAGCGGUGGAAUGCGCAGAUAUCAGGAAGAACACCCGUGGCGAAGGCGGCUCUCUGGAACGCAACUGACGCUGAGACGCGAAAGCGUGGGGAGCAAACAGG